AGAACGAACGCUGGCGGCAUGCCUAACACAUGCAAGUCGAACGAAGGCUUCGGCCUUAGUGGCGCACGGGUGAGUAACACGUGGGAACCUGCCUCUUUGUUCGGAAUAACAUCGGGAAACUGGUGCUAAUACCGGAUACGCCCUACGGGGGAAAGAUUUAUCGCAGAGAGAGGGGCCCGCGUCCGAUUAGGUAGUUGGUGGGGUAACGGCCUACCAAGCCGACGAUCGGUAGCUGGUCUGAGAGGAUGAUCAGCCACACUGGGACUGAGACACGGCCCAGACUCCUACGGGAGGCAGCAGUGGGGAAUAUUGGACAAUGGGCGCAAGCCUGAUCCAGCAAUGCCGCGUGAAUGAUGAAGGCCUUAGGGUUGUAAAGUUCUUUCGUCGGGGACGAUGAUGACGGUACCCGAAGAAGAAGCCCCGGCUAACUUCGUGCCAGCAGCCGC
rnacentral:rRNA from 1 species